GAUGAACGCUGGCGGCGUGCCUAAUACAUGCCAGUCGAGCGAACGGACGAGGAGCUUGCUUUUCUGAUGUUAGCGGCGGACGGGUGAGUAACACGUGGAUAACCUACCUAUAAGACUGGGAUAACUUCGGGAAACCGGAGCUAAUACCGGAUAAUAUUUUGAACCGCAUGGUUCAAAAGUGAAAGACGGUCUUGCUGUCACUUAUAGAUGGAUCCGCGCUGCAUUAGCUAGUUGGUAAGGUAACGGCUUACCAAGGCAACGAUGCAUAGCCGACCUGAGAGGGUGAUCGGCCACACUGGAACUGAGACACGGUCCAGACUCCUACGGGAGGCAGCAGUAGGGAAUCUUCCGCAAUGGGCGAAAGCCUGACGGAGCAACGCCGCGUGAGUGAUGAAGGUCUUCGGAUCGUAAAACUCUGUUAUUAGGGAAGAACAUAUGUGUAAGUAACUGUGCACAUCUUGACGGUACCUAAUCAGAAAGCCACGGCUAACUACGUG
rnacentral:rRNA from 1 species